AUGCUCGCUUGGGCAGCACAUAGACUAAAAUUGGAUUGAUACAGAGAAGAUUAGCAUGGCCCCCGGCGCAAAGAUGACAGUCAAAUUCAUGAAGCGUUCCAUAUUUUA
rnacentral:snRNA from 1 species